rnacentral:rRNA from 1 species
ACGGAAGGCAGCAGUCGGGAAUAUUGCACAAUGGAGGAAACUCUGAUGCAGUGACGCCGCGUAUAGGAAGAAGGUUUUCGGAUUGUAAACUAUUGUCGACAGGGAAGCAAAAUGACGGUACCUGUGGAGGAAGCCCCGGCUAACUACGUGCCAGCAGCCGCGGUAAUACGUAGGGGGCGAGCGUUGUCCGGAAUUAUUGGGUGUAAAGGGUGCGUAGACGGGAUAUUAAGUUGGUUGUGAAAUCCCCAGGCUUAACUUGGGAACUGCAACCAAAACUGAUGUUCUUGAGUACAGGAGAGGAAAGUGGAAUUCCUAGUGUAGCGGUAAAAUGCGUAGAGAUUAGGAGGAACACCAGUGGCGAAGGCGACUUUCUGGACUGAAACUGACGUUGAGGCACGAAAGUGUGGGGAGCAAACAGGAUUAGAUACCCUGGUA